UACGUAGGUGGCUAGCGUUGUCCGGAUUUACUGGGCGUAAAGCGCACGCAGGCGGAUUGAUAAGUCAGGGGUGAAAUCCCGGAGCUCAACUUCGGAAUUGCCUUUGAUACUGUUAAUCUCGAGUCCGGGAGAGGUGAGUGGAAUUCCUAGUGUAGAGGUGAAAUUCGUAGAUAUUAGGAAGAACACCAGUGGCGAAGGCGGCUCACUGGCCCGGUACUGACGCUCAUGUGCGAAAGCGUGGGGAGCAAACAGG
rnacentral:rRNA from 1 species